rnacentral:tRNA from 1 species
GGUAGAGUGGCUCAGUAAGUAGAGUGCUUGCCUUGCAUGCAUGAGUCUCUGGGUUUGAUUCCUCAGCACCA